rnacentral:rRNA from 1 species
GACGAACGCUGGCGGCGUGCUUAACACAUGCAAGUCGAACGAAGAGCGACGGAAGCUCGCUUCUAUCAAUCUUAGUGGCGAACGGGUGAGUAACGCGUAAUCAACCUGCCCUUCAGAGGGGGACAACAGUUGGAAACGACUGCUAAUACCGCAUACGAUCUAAUCUCGGCAUCGAGGAUGGAUGAAAGGUGGCCUCUACAUGUAAGCUAUCACUGAAGGAGGGGAUUGCGUCUGAUUAGCUAGUUGGAGGGGUAACGGCCCACCAAGGCGAUGAUCAGUAGCCGGUCUGAGAGGAUGAACGGCCACAUUGGGACUGAGACACGGCCCAGACUCCUACGGGAGGCAGCAGUGGGGAAUCUUCCGCAAUGGACGAAAGUCUGACGGAGCAACGCCGCGUGAGUGAUGACGGCCUUCGGGUUGUAAAGCUCUGUUAAUCGGGACGAAAGGCCUUCUUGCGAAUAGUGAGAAGGAUUGACGGUACCGGAAGAGAAAGCCACGGCUAACUACGUG